GAAAGCCGCUUACGGGAAAUCCGUACGGGCGGUUUGAUGAGGAGGGGGUGGUGAAAGCCACUCCUUUACUCUAC
rfam:Desulfovibrio sp. S3730MH75 k99_3793095, whole genome shotgun sequence.